rnacentral:snoRNA from 1 species
UUGCAUUCUUAAACCCUCUUGGUCGCUUCGCUCCGAGUGCUUCCGAGAUAUGAGUGAAUGCUACAGAAAUUUGCAGGAGAGUCCAAAGGGCUGCGCUUCUCCUGUGGCUCAGUCUUAUUUCGUACCUGCGACAUCU